rnacentral:lncRNA from 1 species
AGCGGCGUGCUUCUGUCUCGGCGUUCACAUUUUGGUAAGCUUUUGGGAUUUGGCUUAAUCCUUAUGCUUAGUGUUCUAGUAGCCUCUAAUGUGUUGUUAACAUGUUUCCUCCAUGAAUGUUUGGGUUAUUUGGAGCAUGUGUAGAGGCUAGGGUUAGAAUGAGGAUUUUGAAAAUUAGAGGGUUUUGAUCUAUAAUAACUCUAUUAUUCUCUAAUUGAAUGUUAGAGAUGAACCCUUGAUGGCUCCAAGUUGAGAAUCGAUGUGUGUUCGGCGAUCAAUUGCGAGUUGGAGCCGAACCGGAUCACGUGUGUCGCGGGAGCCCGAUUGCAAGUGUUGACAAGCAAUCGGUUAUUAGGUGGGUUGUGCUCACCGAAGCGAUUGGGUCGCUUCCAUGCCAAAGUGUAGUGUGUGUCAUCGUUGAUGCAUGUAACGCUAGUUAAUUGCAAGGUUAACGAAUGCAUAUUUAUGCUAAUAAUAAAUGCAUGAGGCAUGAGAUUAAUGUAUGCUAAUUGGGUAUGCAUGAUGUAUGCUAAGUUUGCAUGAGCUAAAUGCUAAAUGAGAGUAUAACAUAUGUGCUAAUAAGGAAUGCAUAUAAUGGUAGUCCAAUUAGUAAAUGAUGCAUGAAAUAUAUGCUAAUUAUGAAUGCAUGAGGCAUGAGAUAAAUGUAUGCUAAUUGGGUAUGCAUGAUGUAUGCUAAAUGAAUGCAUAGAGUAUAUGCUAAGUGAAUAUAAAAGCUAGAUGCUAAAGAAUGCAUGUGAUAGGUGCAAAUGAAUGCGUAAGACAUGUUAAAAAAAUGCAUGAACUAGAUGUUAAAUAACAUGAAUGACAUAUAUGUUAUAUAAAUGCAUGAUUAAGAUGCUAUUAAUGAAUGCAUGCGAAAAAUAUAAAUGAAUGCAUAGAGUAUAUGCUAAGUUAGUGCAUGAACUAAAUGCUAUAUGAAUGCAAAUAUUGUUGUGUAUGGACUAUCCUUGGAGAAUAAGAACUUAGAUUGAUGAACUCUAAGUAGAGUAAAGAACUCGACAAGUGUAGCUUGUAAACUGAGAAUCCUAAAUAUGAACAAUAAGGAUAAGAGUGGCAAUGAAACCUAGCGCCAUUGAACAUUGGUGAUUCAUGAGUGGCAUGUCAUGUAUGAUUCCUAGGUGUGGACAACUAGGAAAACAAGAGCACGAGUGGCAUUAAACCUAAUGUAUUAAACAUAGGUUGAGAAUUGAACCUAGAGUUAAGUAAACUAGGCUAUGAAUAUAGUGACAUUGAACCUAGAGUCAAAUGAACCUUAGGUUGAGUAAAGGCUUGGAUCUAGAUAGGUCGAUAAUAUAGGGUGAGACCAACCCUAGAGUUAUGAAAGUGGAUUCCGGAAUCCCGGCUGCGAGUGUAGCGACUGCUAGUGCAGCAUAUGAGCUCGAUAGUUCUUGGCCGCGGGUGCAUGUGGCAUGUUCCUCUCCCAUCGGAAGAACUUCGAGGAUUGUGAUUGAGCAAGAUUCUNGCAUGCCUCUAAGCACUCCUUAGGCGCUGGAUGAUGCAAUGCACAAUACGACAAACAUCCUAUUUAAAAGUGCUCCCCACACGGAAGCUUUUGUUUUUAAACUUUAAUUCAAUGAUUUACAAAACCAUUCAAAAACCUUUUUAAAACUGUUUCCCACACGGAAACUCCAUUUUGAAAACCGACUACCUCGAGGGGUAGAAAACCACGAUGUGUAAAUACAAGAAUCAAGAAUCCAAAAAAACCAAAACUACAGAUCCACAAACCUCUGAUCACAUGCAUGAAUAACGAAAACAUCCAUUGAUCCACCGAAACCAAUUCACGAACAUUCAAACAAUCAUAGAGAUCAUCUAACUGAACCAUUUAUUAUUAAAACUACUAAGUGCAGAAAUGAAAGUAACCAGGGUGACGGUCGCUAUACCAGACUAGCUAGAUCGUCCUCUUACCGCGCCCAACACCAACUCCAAGCCCGAAUCACUUGGGAAAAUGGGGGGUGAGAAACCUCAACCAUGGUUUUCCAGUGGGUAUGACAGAGCCGCGCUGUAAUAUACCGAAAAUUCGGAAAAUAAAUAUCGAACUUUAGUCAAAUUGACCAAAGUGCGAGGAUGGUACACUUCGGAAAGUCCGAUGGUGUUAAAAGGAUCAAAAGUGUGUUAUGGGAGAUUUUCGAGAGCUAAGGAAUCAAAAAUCUGCAAACUGCAGUUUUUGAGCUCUCGGGGACCGGUCCCUGGUGGGAGAGACCGGUCCCCGUACAUGCGAAAAUUAAGGAAAGCUGAAAAUCGGCUAAGUCCUGAGAAGGUAGGCUUCGGGAACCGGUCCCUGCCUGAGAGACCGGUCCCCCGGAGACUGGUCCCCCAAAGAGAUCGCGCGGGAGCCUCGGCUGCCGCCGGGACGAGCUUCGGGAACUGGUCCCUGGUCGGGAGGACCGGUCCCCGCACACGAAAAUGCCCAGUCUGGGCUGGUUGAAUAGAGUAAAAGUGGAGGGGUUUAAUUGCAUUUUUGCAACCCAUUGAGCUAAGUAUGAGGACAAAUGAGAUAUUUCUCUCAUUUCCCACUUCUCAUUCCCUCUCAUCUCUCUUUCUCUCUCUAGAAGACAAGAAGGAGAAGAAAAAGAGAAAGAAAGGAAAUGAGAAGAAGAAGAAGAAAGUGGAGAAGAAGUAGAAGGGGUGAAGAAACUCCCUCUCCCUCAUCUCUAGCUUCGAAAAGAAAGGCUUACAAGGUAAGCUUUGAACCCUAAAUGUGGUAGAAUCCAAAUUAGGGUUUGGAUUGAGUUAAUAAUGAUUUUUAUAGGAUCUCUAGAGUCUUUGAAGCUUUCUUUUGCUUCCUUUUGAGAUCAAAACCAUGGUUUGGUAUAGAGGUGAAGCUUGAAGGUGAGCUUCAACACCUCUCAUGGUGAAACCCAAACUAGGGUUUUGAUUGAGCUAGAAAUGGUUUAAAUGGACUUUUUAGAGUGCCAUGAAGUUUCUUUUGCUUCCCAAUGAGAUCAAACCCUAGGUUUUCUUAUGCUAUGGAGCUAGGGCACCCAAAUUGGGGCUUUAGCUUAUGGGGAUUUCUAAGUGAAAUUGACCCUCUAGAAAUCUAAUUGGGGACCAAAUGAACACGUUGGUGCGCUCGGUUUGAGUAUACGAAAAGCCAAUGUAAAGAUAUGAGCAAAAUGGCCUAAUAGGGCUUCGUUUUGCAGCAGGUAAAGAACGAAGGGUCUAAAAAUCCCAAGAAAAUCAUCGGAGCACCUUUGAAAACCUACGAGGUGGGUGGUGCUUUUCAAACUCAUUGAACUUCUCUCUAUGCCUAAUGUGUCAUUCAAUUGAGCAUAUGUAUAUACAUUGUUGCAUGCAUUUUAGGGUAAAGCAAUGAUAAAAGUGUGAUGUUGCAUGAUUGUGAGUACAACUUGCGUAAUGUGAUGAUUAAGAACCUUAUGAAUAUCAAAAACCCUAUAUAUGUAUGCAUGAGAGAAAAUAUGAGUACCAAAGUGAGGCGAAAGAACAGAGUGACACAAUGAGACAUAGAUCGAGUGGCAUUUGGUAAUGUAAAGUAAAGUGACACUAGAGGUAGUGUGAGGCAAAGAAUCAAUGUGAUGUAAAGAAUAAUGAUAAUGACUAAAGUGAAAACAAAGUGGGGCGUAAAGAACAUGAUUGCUAGAGUUAGCAAAAGUAAAGAAAGGUAAAGAACAAUGAUUGCUAGAGUAGCAACAUAAAGUGAUGUAAGGAACACUAGAGUUAGUGUAAAGUCAAGAUUGAACAUACAAUAGUUUUGAGUUAAGGAUUCGAUCAUAUUUGCUAUGAGUUCCGUGGUCGAGGGUGGUCGCUCCCCCUCGGGCGAUGCGCUCCGGAGUUUUUGCAUCACGGGUUGGAAUAAACCCGAAGAACGGUCUUAGCGGGAGGAAGCUGAGGGCCCGCGAUGAUGGACUUAAUGUGAAGCAAGUUAAUGUGGCGAAACUCCCGGGUUAGCCUUGAGAUUAAAGAACAAAGAACAAAGAACAAAGAACAAAGAACAAAGAACAAAGAACAAAGAACAAAGAACAAAGACAAAGUGUAAGGUGUAAAGAACAAAAGAACUUGCAUAAUCUGCAUGUGUUAAUGUUGAGCAUAUUUUCUGCUUAUUGUUCAGGCAUAUUAGCAUCAUAUUAUAGAUUGGUUACUAUAUGCAGCUUUUCCCUUUUAUUAUGCCUGAGUUAGUCCUAGUGGGAAAGUCGGUGAGAUUGAGGCCGAACCCACUGAAAACUUUGUUGUAGUUCUCACCCCACUAUUUCCACAUAGCCGGGACCGAGCGGGCUGGCGAGCGACUGCGGUAUAGGUAUCGCACCAUAGCAAGAGGCUACCAGUGCUGAGUUUACAUUUUGUAGUUGUAGCACACUGGACCUUUGCAAAUUGCGAGGUUCGAGUGUUUGGAUGUAUUUCGAGCUUUUCCACACUUGGUGGAGGGUUGUAUAAUAUUUUCCGACCUAAAAAGUUCGAAAACUGGAAUUCUGGACAAGUCCUGAGAGUUUUUACUCUCGGGGACCGGUCCCUGGAAGGAGAGACCGGUCCCCCAGUGAGCAGUGUUGCGGCAGCCCUGAGGUAACCGGUCCCUGGCGGGCGAGACCUGUAAGGUACCGAACUUCUUAAAUUAUGAAGUUGCGGCGGGGUGUAAUAUGCUGAAAUUUUAAUAUAAAAAUAAAUAUAAAUGAAAAUAGUGUGAAAUACUAUUUUAUUGGACUUAUAGACAUAAAAUAUAAGUCUGGAAUGGCCCGUGUUGAAAUCGGAGCGAAAACAGAAGAUUUAGAAUUUUCUGUGUGAAAUGGGGCAGAUAAAUUAGCAGAAAAUGCAUAGUGUCAGAAAAUUCUGAAAACUGGAGGAUAAGCCCGAAUUAUUCUUAUGAGGCUAGAUUUAAAGUUUCAUAUCAUUUUGACACCCGGAAGGUGGAAAAUAAAAUCCAAUAGUGAUCUGAUAAAGAUUACAGUUCGGUACAGCUUUCGGUGACCAAACGGGGUCGAAACUGAAAUAUUAAAAUUUCUUUGGACUCUUUAAGUAAAACCGAACAUGACUGUCAGAUUUGAGCUCAAACGGAUAUUCAGGGAGCUCCGGCGAAAGAUAUCAGAUUUUGAGCUGCCUGAUGUGAAUAGUGUAUGCUACUAUUGAGGUGUUGACUAUAAGUAGAAGCUACUAGGCUUCUUCUUCCUCCUCAGCUGCAGCCAGCACAAGCAUCACACGCACAUGGUGAAGGAGAGAGAAACCCUCUCUUUCUCUCUCUAAAUAUCUCUCUCAUCUCUCUAGAUCUUUCGCCCAAAUUCGCGGCGUUGGUGGAGAUCGAGCUUGCGAACGCGUUGGAGGCGACGGAUUGACGAUGGAGCUUUCGUGCGCCUGUUGGAGAGCGACUUGUUUUCGUUGCGGCGUUCACAUUGGGUAACCUUUUGGAUUUGGCUUAAUCCUUAACCUUAAGUGUCUAGUAGCCUCUAAUGAGCAUUCUUAGUUAUGUUGCUCCAUUUAAUUUGGAUUAUUUGGGGCUAAUUGCAUGUUAGGGCUCAAAAAUGGGAUUUUGCAAUACGUGAGGGUUUGAUCUAAAUUGAUCAUGUAUAAACCUAAUUGUUAGGUUUUCUGACGCGUUGGCGAAGUCGGUUUGGCGAUACGACGAGCGUACGCGAAGAUAUUAAAGAACGAAGCCGUUAGUGUACAGAUUGCCGCAACUUGCGGCGAAAGCUUCCAAAAAUCACGAAAAUCGGAAUCCUAGCCUCGUGAUAGAAUAAAAGGUGGGGCGUGUCAUCCCGAAAGCAAUGGUUUCUUUUUAUGUCUAAGUUAAUUAUGUUGAUCAUAUUGCGCUAUAGGAAUAGAGUUGUACAUUUCAUUCCUUGCAUGUUUCUUGGUGGCGUAGCGGUGGGUGAGCUUGACACGUGACUAGGAUACAUGAGGAUUGGGUCUUGUGACAUUAGAAUCCUAUAGCGGCAUUAAAGAGCCGAACUUGGACAUAGCCUAGUAGAGUGGCAUCGAAACUAGUGUGGUAAGAAGCACUAUGACAUGAACAGGUGACAUGUAGAAUAAUUGAGACAUUUACUACAAUGACUAAACGAGUGGCAUUGAGUCUAGUGUAGUAAACAUGACAUGGUUCUAGGGAUGGAUAGAAGUCUACAACAUUGAUUAUAUAUCAUGAUUGUGCAGAAGAGGCCAUUGACCCUAGUAGACAGGGUAUCCUCUUGAGAGGAUUUGAUCAUACUCACUAGUCUGUUUUUGCUUGUCGGUGGGUCGCUUCCACCGAGGCACGAGUUCUCGCGAGUAUUCACGAGGGGCAGACGUAGUUGCCCCGCAGACGGUCUCGGUGUGCGAGUGCAGUUCCUCACCUAUGAGAUUGAAAGUGAGUCGAGGGUUAACACGGGUUAACCAAGUAGAUGUGGGUAAUGAACAUGAACUGCAUAGUAAGAUUUAAUCAUUAUUAACUCGAGUAACAUAGUGUAUGUGUAGAUUACAUUGCUAUGUACUUUAUAUUACUCAUGACAUGUACUAGCAUGAUGUAGUUGUUGCAAACAUUAUCAUCAUUGAUGGCAUGAUACAGUAGUUGCAGUUAUUUCGCUAUAUAUCUAUCUAUCUCUCUAUCUGUGACAGCUUAGACCUAAGUGGAAAACCGCGCGUCGGCGCCGAACCCACUGGGAACUAUAUUAUAUAAGUUCUCACCCGUGUGGUUUUGGGUAACAGGUACACACAGAGGCGACGAGCGAGGACCGCGGCAAGGGCAUAGCCGCCGCUAAGUGAGCCUAUUAGUAGCUUUUUCUUUAUGCAUUAGAGUACCCUCGUUACAGAUGAGUUUUUGGAUAAGGCUACUUAUAUUUUGAAGAAAACAUGUAUUUACAUUUUGGAAGAUGAAAAUGUAAUAUAUUCAAAUGAUGUAAAUGUUGAAUGAUUGUGAUAGUUAGACUAUCUCUCUUUAUACACUUGUAUAUUACUUGUGGUUCUUGCUCUUAGAUGUAUUGCACUUGUGUGCAUCGUGUUUGAUCAUGUAUGUUAUUUAAGCAAAUAACUGGGUGCUUAAUUGUACAUGAUCUGGUUGCUUAGCCUUGGGCGGACAGGAGAGGUGCUGUCCGUUCGGCGUCUGUUCGACGCGCCCGAACCGGACCGAAUUGGUAGCGGUCUCGGGGCGUGACAGAGUUGUUGGUAUCAGAGUCACUAAGAGCAAGUAAAGAGAGAGUCUAGGAUGGCGCCGGCGGAAUUGAAAGAGUUGCGGGCACAAUUGAUAGAUCUCAUUGAUAAGGGAUUCAUACGGCCAAGUGUAUCACCGUGGGGAGCCCCGGUCCUAUUCGUGCGAAAGAAGGACGGAUCAUUUUGACUCUGCGUAGACUACCGCGAGUUGAACAAGGUCACGAUCAAGAACAAGUACCCGUUGCUGAGGAUUGACGAUCUGUUUGAUCAGUUGCAAGGAUCUCGGGUUUAUUCAAAGAUUGAUCUACAAUCCAGUUAUCAUCAACUCAAGAUUAAGCCGGAAGAUGUGCACAAGACCGCGUUUCGCACGCGGUAUGGACACUAUGAAUUCACGGUCAUGCCGUUUGGGCUCACUAACGCCCCGGCAGCAUUCAUGGAUUUAAUGAACCGUGUCUUCAAAGAGUACUUGGACCGAUUUGUCGUGGUCUUUAUAGACGACAUCUUGGUCUACUCGCGCAGCGACGAGGAACAUGCCGAGCAUUUAAGGGUCGUGCUUCAAAUCCUUCGGGAGGAGAAGUUGUAUGCUAAGUUUAAGAAAUGUGACUUUUGGCUCCGAGAGGUUGCAUUUCUUGGGCAUGUCAUUUCCGAGGGAGGAGUAUCUGUUGACCCGAGGAAAGUGGAGGCGAUCAAGGAUUGGCCUCGCCCGACUAACGUCACGGAAGUUCGAAGCUUCGUAGGUUUAGCGGGUUAUUAUAGACGGUUCGUGGAGGGAUUCUCGAAGAUUGUGGGUCCACUUACCCGUCUGACUCAGAAAGGCGCCAAAUUCAUUUGGAGUAACGAGUGCGACCGGAGUUUUCAAGAGUUGAAGGAUAGAUUGACUUCGACUCCGGUACUCGCCUUACCGAUGCAAGACGAAGACUUCGUGGUGUAUAGCGACGCGUCACAAUCGGGCUUAGGGUGUGUUCUGAUGCAGGGCGGGAAGGUGAUCGCUUAUGCGUCCCGUCAGCUGAAGAUCUAUGAGAAGAAUUACCCUGUCCAUGACUUGGAGUUGGCCGCGGUAGUGUUUGCCCUCAAGCUAUGGAGGCACUACUUGUAUGGCGCGCGUUGCGAGAUAUACACGGACCACAAGAGUCUAAAAUACCUUUUCACGCAAAAGGAGCUCAAUAUGCGACAGCGGCGGUGGUUGGAAUUGCUGAAGGUUUUGAUGUGACAAUCCUAUACCACCCCGGAAAAGCGAACGUGGUGGCUGACGCGCUUAGCAGGAAGUCAGUGGAAAAUCUGGCUAUGUUGGUCACACGUCAAGAACCUCUGUGGAGAGAGAUGGAACGAUUGGAUCUCGAGAUGGUAGCUCCGGAAAUCCCGUCUAUGCUUACGGCUCUCGUUGUCCAACCGACCUUGUUGGAGCAGAUAAAUAGUUUGCAAUCUGCGGACCCCAAUCUCCAAAAGGUGCGGCGAGACAUCGAGAGUGGACACGGCGGUGAUUUCAGUGUAGAUGUUGAGGGUGCGCUUCGGUUUCGAAACCGAUGGUGCGUAUCGGAAAACGAGGAAGUCCGAAAGUUAAUAUUGCAAGAAGCACAUCGGACUCCUUAUAGUAUUCACCCGGGUGGCACCAAGAUGUACCGUGAUCUGAAGAUGCAGUACUGGUGGCCGGGCAUGAAAGCAGACAUUGGGCGCUAUGUAGCGCAGUGCCUAGUAUGCCAGCAAGUGAAGGCUGAACAUGGCAAUCAUAUUUAUAUAGUUCUCACCCCGUGUGUGUUUUGGGUACAGGUAAACAUCAGGCGAGAGGCUAAAGCACCGCGGCGCCGGAGGAAGGCAGGAAAGAGGGAACAGAGCGCCCUAGUACGCUCAAGUUAUGGGUAAGCUUGUUAUGUGUGCCAUAUGAGUGCAUGUACCGAGGUUAAUCCCAUCCGAAGCGUGUACUAGAUAAUGUUUGGAAGAUAAUUAUGCCGGGGAUGGCUAAACUUAUAAUACCAGUUGAAGGAGAAAACAAAGUAAUAUAGCAUUUUGUAGAGACGAGAGUCAAAGAUGGUAUAUUUAAUUUCAGAGAUGAGCGGUAAAUGUUAAGAGAUUGUGAGGAGUUUAGAGAGCUAUCUCUCUAUAUUAUUAGAACACUAUAUAUAUAAAUUGUAGAGUGUUGCGUGCUUAGAAAGAAUAGGGCGAGACUUCGUGAUACAUCGGAAUGAGGCUGAAAUUUUAAUAUAAAAAUAAAUAUAAAUGAAAAUAGUGUGAAAUACUAUUUUAUUGGACUUAUAGACAUAAAAUAUAAGUCUGGAAUGGCCCGUGUUGAAAUCGGAGCGAAAAUAGAAGAUUUAGAAUUUUCUGUGUGAAAUGGGGCAGAUAAAUUAGCAGAAAAUGCAUAGUGUCAGAAAAUUCUGAAAACUGGAGGAUAAGCCAGAAUUAUUCUUAUGAGGCUAGAUUUAAAGUUUCAUAUCAUUUUGACACCCGGAAGGUGGAAAAUAAAAUCCAAUAGUGAUCUGAUAAAGAUUACAGUUCGGUACAGCUUUCGGUGACCAAACGGGGUCGAAACUGAAAUAUUAAAAUUUCUUUGGACUUAUUAAGUAAAACUGAACGUGCCUGUCAAAUUUGAGCUCAAACGGAUAUUCAGGGAGCUCCGGCGAAAGGUAUUAUAUUUUGAGCCGCUAAACUGAAAUUGUGCUAAAGUGAAUAGUGUUGGUGUUGACUAUAAAAAGGAGUGUUGACUCCUUCUUCCUCCUCAGCUGCAGCCAGCACCAAGCAUCACACGCACAUGGUGAAGGAGAGAGAAACCCUCUCUUUCUCUCUCUAAAUAUCUCUCUCAUCUCUCUAGAUCUUUCGCCCAAAUUCGCGGCGUUGGUGGAGAUCGAGCUUGCGAACGCGUUGGAGGCGACGGAUUGAGCUUUCGUGCGCCCGUUGGAGCGACGUGUUUUCGUUGCGGCGUUCACAUUGGGGUAAACUUUUGAGAUUUGGCUUAAUCCUUAACCUUAAGUGUUCUAGUAGCCUCUAAUGAGCAUUCUUAGCAUGUUGCUCCAUUUAAUUUGGAUUAUUUGGGGCUAAUUGCAUGUUAGGGCUCAAAAAUGGGAUUUUGCAAUACGUGAGGGUUUGAUCUAAAUUGAUCAUGUAUAAACCUAAUUGCUAGGUUUUCUGACGCGUUGGCGAAGUCGGUUCGGCGAUACGACGAGCGUACGCGAAGAUAUUAAAGAACGAAGCCGUUAGGGUACAGAUUGCCGCAACUUGCGGCGAAAGCUUCCAAAAAUCACGAAAUCGGAAUCCUAGCCUCGUGAUAGCGAUAAAAGGUGGGGGGUGUCAUCCCGAAGCAAUCGGGUUUCUUUUUAUGUCUAAGUUAAUUAUGUUGAUCAUAUUGCGCUAUAGGAAUAGUAGUCGUACAUUUCCAUUUCCUUGCAUGCUUUCUUGGUGGCGUAGCGGGGUGAGCUUGACACGUGGACUAGGAUAGCAUGAGGAUUGGGUCUUGUGACAUAGAAUCCUAUAGCGGCAUAAAGAGCCGAACUUGGACAUAGCCUAGUAGAGUGGCAUCGAACUAGUGUGGUAGAAGCACUAUGACAUGAACAGGUGACAUGUAGAAUAAUUGAGACAUUUACUACAAUGACUAAACGAAUGGCAUUGAGUCUAGUGUAGUAAACAUGACAUGGUUCUAGGGAUGGUAGAAGUCCCAACAUUGAUUAUAUAUCAUGAUUGUGCAGCAGAGGCACAUUGACCCUAGUAGACAGGGUAUCCUCUUGAGAGGAUUUGAUCAUACUCACUAGUCUGUUUUUGCUUGUCGGUGGUCGCUCCACCGAGGCACGAGUCUCCGGAGUACUUCACUAGGGGCAGACGUAGUUGUCCCGCAGACGGUCUCGGUGUGCGAGUGCAGCUUCUCCUCACCUAUGAGAUUGAAAGUGAGUCGAGGGUUAACCUACGGGUUAACCAAGUAGAUUGGGUAAUGAACAUGAACUGCAUAGUAGAUUUGCAUUAUUACCUCGAGUAGACAUAGUGUAUGUUGUAGAUUACAUUGCUAUGUACUUUUAUAUACUCAUGACAUGUACUAGCAUGAUAGUAGUUGUUGCAAGCAUUAUCAUCAUUGAUGGCAUGAUAGAGUAGUUGCAGUUAUUUCGCUAUAUAUCUAUCUAUCUCUCUAUCUGUGCCAGCUUAGACCUAGUGGGAAAACCGGCGGCGUCGGCGGCCGAACCCACUGGGAACUAUAUUAUAUAGUUCUCACCCCGUG